AUUUCCCCAGCAGAGGCAGGCAGAAGAUGGAGAGGACCACCCUGCCAGCUGUCAAGGAGGUUCAGGCUGCAGGUGUGCUCCUGAAAAAAGCACUGCUGAGGUAUGGCCCUCUGCACAUGCAGCUACUUUAUGUUUCAGACAUACCUCGAUGUCAGGUCCUGUGGAAACCCAGAUACCCACUGCUCUGAACCUGGCAACAUGACACCUUUGUUACCUGUGUCACAGAUUGAUCUGCAGAGUCCUGGACCAUUGAAGAAUCUGGUUUCAGUCACCUUGGCUCAGUUGCAGUUUUCUGGGUAAUACACUGAGACAACUCUCAAAACUAAUUGUGAGCAAGUAACAUGUCAUUCUUCAGUCUCCAACACAUCAACAGAAAAAUCAAGUCUUCAACUAUAUAUGCCAACUUCUACUCUCUCUCAAAUAAAUACAUAUGAAGAUAAUAUAUUAUUUUUUCUCAGUAAAAAUAUUAAAUAUGGCACUAACGUUAUACAAGGUGGUAAAUAAAUUCAUUUUAGAGGCUGUGAUGAAGAGGGAAACUGAUUAAAAUGAUGGUUUAGAUAAACUGAACUGAGUCAGUCUCCCCUUGUGACAGAAAACAGCUUUUUAAAAUUACAUACAAUUAUUAGAUGUGACCUGAUGUCUCAUGCUUCUGUGUACAGGAAAAAAUAUAUAUAUAUAAAAAGCACUGAAUGGCAUGUAGGAAAAAGUUGUAUUGCAUUUGGUGCAAUUCUCACUUACUCAGUCUGCAGUUAAAACUCUGAUGGAGCCUACUACAUGACUAGAUUUCAAAUUGUAUUUCAGGAUGGAUAUCUGUUUUAUGGGGGGGCAGGGGCUGUCUGAUUCUGCAGCAAAACAAUCUCUGAUAGAGGAGGAUAGUUUAAUUAAUCACAAUUAAUGCCUCUCAUUCUAAUUUUAACUGUUGUUACUACAGUUCUCAUAGGAGGAAUGUAUGUCUCCCUCCUUUGCUUCUUUUUCUUUACUUGAUGGAAAAUGACAAUGCAACAUGCCAGUAAAAUACGCUGAGAUACAUUUCAAUAUGUUGAAAAAUACA